rnacentral:lncRNA from 1 species
UUAACACAUUACAUCGUACUGUUAUACAAAUAUUUUCGAUAAUUAUCGACGCAUCGAUGACAUCCAUAAUACAUCGUUGAGCGAUCGAAGUAUGAUACACUCUGUAACUUAAUCGUUCGAGUCGAUUCCUCCUGGCAGUUAUGAUUGAAAUUUGGCGGGAAACUCACAGUGGACCUAUUGACGCAGACAUUUUUGGCGGGAGAAAAGAUGAAGUACACAAAUUCGAAUCUCAGUAUUUGAUAUUUCAUGUGCUGUGAUCCGUGAUGACUUACAAUGCCAACAAAGUUGCUAUCGUUGAAUUGUUAAUGACAAAAAACAAGUGAACAGGUGACUGAAGAAUUAUUGAACGAGAUGUGAAUAAUAAAAGCUAACAAAUUUAUGAAUGAAUAUUACUGACGUCCAACGUGAACGGUAGGAGGAAACACCGGUUGAUGCAAGAUUAACGCAAUCUAAGAUAACGAUAACUAGAAGUUCCUUGAAAGGAGGAAAACGGUUCUUUUUCUUCGAUCUGAUGUACGCAAACGGCCAUCCCAGGAAGUUCCGUUCAAUUAAAAGUGAUUGCUCGCGAGAACAGUGACUCAUCCGUAAUCUUUGAUGAGUAUGAAAUCUGGAAUAGUCAAGCAUUGUAGAUCAAUAUUGUUGUUGAAGGAAAUAUACUGGAAGAUUGUGCAGCCCUUACACGGAGUAUGUAUAUGUAGACGAAGUAUAUAUGUGUACGUAGAUUAUUCAAGGACUGCAUGAUCUUGUUCCUCCAAUUACUCCCGAUGACCCUCUUACGUUUCUCUACAAUGAAAUAUUUACCGUGCGGUGGCUUCGCUCUGUCAAAAGUGUUCGUAACUUUCGUGAUAAUUAUAGAUAUGGCUUGCACGUUGCCCGACUAUCUGGUAUUUUUAUUUUCCUUCGGUAUCGGAGAAACUCCGCGAUCUUCAAAAUCGCAAAAUCACAAAAAUCUUAAUUUCAAAAUGCUCUAAAUUGAUUCACGAUUCGAAAGUACCCGCAUUUUUGCACUCAAAUAUUUUUUAACUUAUCAUACAUUAAUCUCGACUUGAAAGUUGGUAAUUUUGUAACGCAAAUGCGAGAGUUUCAAAAUAUAAUUUUUGUAAUAACCGCGUCGAGUGUAGAAGCGAUUGCAUAAAAUAUGUAAUCCUCAAAAUACUUACCAUACAGUAUUAUAUUCCAUUGAUUUACAACUCCAUUCCAAUCUAAUCGACACAAAAUACUAAAUUUGAUUGCAUAGGUAUCUCUGAAUUGUUUAUCGGUAUUAGUUACGAAUUCAUGUACAAUUUUACAUUGCAAAUAUUACCGCUGCCUUGGAGCGCUUAAUUUUUAUAGCAAAAGGAAGAUCAAAAUUCAAGGUUGCACGUGGACUAUACAGAGAACGGGAACUCGUUCGUCGCGGAACAAAAGGUCCCGCAGCUGGUCCUGCUCUAAGAACUUCAACAAGUUGGACAAAGCGUAAGAACCUGGUAUGAAGGGGUGAAAGAUCAUCUCCCCAUAAAAAAAAACAACGAAUCGGUUUUCAUCCCUCGAAAGUCCUUCGCAGGUCGGCCCAGGUGCUUGAUGUGAGCCAGCUAGAGAUAGAGGGAUGUAGGACUUAGAAAAUAAAGAUUGUAACAACGUAAGGAGAACCUACAGAGACAAUGCGAAAGUAGAAAGAAAGGAAAGAAUUACAAAAGCAAUAAUCAUUUGUAAAAUUGCUUAGCAGACAUCGUGCUUCGUGAAUUACCUUACACACUGAACAAAUCGUUCGCCACUCUUCGAAUAUUGUGUUCCCUAUAAUCGCCAGUAAUUUAAGUCAUUGGAGAACGUGUAAAUUUGCAAGAACGCGGCAAAAAAUGUACAUAGCAAUUACGUUUAUCGCACAACAUAAGAAAUUCUACCACACGAAGGUUGAAGGAUUGAUACCGCGAUGCAUUUACAUGUUUAAUGAAGCAUUCCUUGAGCUAGGAAACCACAUAAAAAUCUAUCUUUCUUAUGGGAAGAAGGAAAAAUAGUGAAUGGAAAAUCGUGAACGAGACUUUCUCUGCCUUUAUAUGACGUUGAGUAUGAAACUCGAGUUUAAUAUUUCUAAUUUCUGAUAUGAAAAUUCUUUCUGUUGAGUUUGUAUCGAAACAAUUUGCGAAUUUGGAGCUCGUUGCGUAGGAGGUCUUCAUGACGUCACACAAUCAAUACCAAGGCGAUCUACGUCAUUGAUGACACGCUGCUUUUCUCCUGGCGAAUCGAAGUGCUAGAAACCAGGGUAUCGUGUCAUCGCGGACACACUGUGGAUUAACUGGAUACUCUAAUACGAUUUACCGUCUAACACGACGCUAGAAGUUAGCCGAGAAACGAAAUUGCAUCUUUCAAUUUUGCCCCAUUCAAGUGUCUCGCCGAGAGGAACACUCUACAAGACUUUAUCUCGAAAACAUACUUCUUUUUAUUAACGAAUUUAAGGACUUGGUUUUUAAAGCCUAUCACUGUUCGAACGAAGGGUCUACUUGAUGACUUCUAUAUAGCGAUUCUUAUCGCAGUGUAUCGAUGAUAGAGCGCAAUUAGAACGGUAAAUAGCUACGGGCCCCGAGAGACCUUUGCACAAUUCUAUUCAACGUAGCAAUUUUCCAAUUCUCAACAAACCUUGCAAUUACCUCUAGGUCCAGACAGACCAUAAUUCCGUUGAAUAGUUAGGUGUAAGAUAUCCUAUUCCAUUUAUGAAUAGACUGCCGGAUGAAACCGUUUGCAGGAAACAGAGGGUGCAUCCAUUGACGUAAUUAGAAUUUUUUCAUGGGGUAGUCCCCUAGAUUUAUUACUAGCGUUCUAAUAGGAAUAGUCAUACUCUUCACACCACCAUAUACCUUCUGCAAAUUUACCAAUUUAAUUCAAAACUGAUAAAAUAUUUUUACAACUGUACCAAAAUAAUUUGUGUAGUUGUCGAUGGAAGAAUUUGUAUGUCAAGAGAAGAUGAAGAAGCAAUAAAGAGAAGAAAAUAGGAUACUAAACAAGAAUUUAACACCUAUUUAAAUUACAUUGAUGUUCAAUGGUGACUAGAAUGGUCCCAUAAAGAUCCUUUGCUUCUUCAAUAUCGAGGAAAUAGAAAUUUACUUUCUUUGUACGUCUUAAAAAGACGUAUCGAUUAAAGUGAUUCAGCAUAAUACAUUAAGGAGUCUUCCAAUACCUUUUGACCCAAUUAAAAUGUAUGACAAGGCCAGGAAACUGACCUACAAUUAAGAAGUUUAUCAACUAGUGCAAAUUUAAUUAUUGUUUUCAGUAGGUAAAGCAAUAAUCUGCUUGAUCGAAGCAGCUAUUACCUUCGAACGAUAAUAAAAAUUCUGCAGAAGGUAAUAUCCUAAAUGUAUCUGUAA